CCGGACUGCUAGCCUACUUCCUCUUUCGGUUGUCUUUCCAUAUUUGGACGGCAGCCCUACCUGGUUAUUGAUUUGGUCGGAGUUUGCUACAUCUGCAGGACAGAGAAGUAAUUGAUUCGAAGCAAACAUUGAAUGGAAGGCAUCGGGAAGAAGAACAACUGCGUCGAGAAACGAAAGUUAUAGAAAAUGUAAAAAAAGGACAGAGAAGAUGAAAUAAAGGAUUUAAAACAAGAAAAUAGAAAAUUAGAACGUGAAAAAGAAGAAGCGCUAUUAAGAUUAAGUGAGCUUGUAUCAUUAAAACUUCGCGACAACAACCCAGAUAUCGUGGAUCUUAGCGACGCCUACAGGCCAACGAAACUACCGGAAAUGUUCAGUGACAAUGAGUGGACCGCUGGUUUUAUUGUAAUGGAGGAAAAAGGAUUUAAAGAGAGGCAGAUAAUUGAUUUUCUUCUCGAUGUUUUGAUGGAAUCGUUUAUAUUUUGUAGAACAGAACUUGAUUACAACUGGCAGCUCAUUAAUCGAUGGUAUUUGGACGAUGUAAGAAUAUGUCGUUGAAGUACAAUACAAUACAAUACAAUACAAUAUUCAUUUAUUUGUAAUGUAAGCCCUCCAGUCCAAAAUAUAUUCAAACAAGAUUUUUCUAUAUGAGUGAUGCUAUAUAAAAUGUUAAACAAUAAUAUACACAAAAUGAGAAUAUUAAUACAAAUGCAAACAUAAAAAUUAUUAUUAUAUAGUUGAUCAGUUGUAACAUAACCUACAAUCUUUUUCUAUAAAUGUGAAGCUAUACGAUAAAUAUAUUGUUGAAUAAUGCAUAAAAUAAGGAUAAUAACACAAAUCCAAAAUUAAUAAUUAUUGUAUAAUUGAUCAGUUACAACAUGGUACAUAACUUAAUGCUAUUCACAAAAUACAUAAUGAAAAUAUUAAUACAAGUGCAAACAAUAAUUCGUAUAUAGAUCUAGAUCAUCAGUUGCAACAUAAUACAUAUAAACUACACUCGCAAUUUAGGUAGCAUUAGCUCGACACGUACGUAUAUGCAUGUAUACAUUGGGAUAGUAAUUU